UGCGCAGGCGGUUCCAUAAGACAGAUGUGAAAUCCCCGGGCUCAACCUGGGAACUGCAUUUGUGACUGUGGAGCUAGAGUACGGUAGAGGGGGAUGGAAUUCCGCGUGUAGCAGUGAAAUGCGUAGAUAUGCGGAGGAACACCAAUGGCGAAGGCAAUCCCCUGGACCUGUACUGACGCUCAUGCACGAAAGCUGGGAGCAAACA
rnacentral:rRNA from 1 species